CGAUUUCGAGGUAGUGAUGGAGGGGGAGUUGAGAGAAUAUUUCAAGGGGGCGUGCUGAGCUCAAACGGAGGGAAGUGGUUGAGGGAAGUUGAUUUUGCUUGGGGGACGCAAAAGGGGUGUAGGAGAUGGGAUGGUCGUGCCGGGUUCAACUAUUGAUAGUAAAUAAUAAUGAUAAAUACUAAAUAAUAAUAAAUACUAAAUAAUAAUAAAUCAAUAUUAACAUUUAAUUUAUCUUUUAAUAAAUAUAGAAUAUAGAAUAUAUAGGUUGAUUUUAUAUUUUUAAUAUAAUUUUAAAGAUUUUUAAAAUUGUAAGAUUGCUGAGAAUAUUUAAUUUUGGAGGAAUAUUGUAGGAAUUUGUAUAAAUAGUAAACGUUGAAUUGGGAGAGUGGUGUAGAGAGUGGUGAAUGAUUUAGAGGUGAAUGAUUUAGAGGUGAAUGAUUUAGAGGUGAAUGAUUUAGAGGUGAAUGAUUUAGAGGUGAAUGAUUUAGAGGUGAAUGAUUUAGAGGUGAAUGAUUUAGAGGUGAAUGAUUUAGGUGGCUCAAUUUUAAUAUUUUUGUCCCAUUAAAAAAAUGCGG
rnacentral:misc_RNA from 1 species